CCUUGAUCUCAUUAUCCAAGAACCCUGCAAGCCUCAUCUUUUUUUUUUUUUUUUUUUUUUUGAGAUGAGGAAACAAGUUCAGAGAGGUUAGUUUAAUUGUCCAAGGUCACAUAGCUAACAAGUGACAGGGCUGGGAUCCAAACCCAGGUCUGUCUGAGUCCAGUUCCUUCCACAUUGGGCCCUGGGCUGGCGAGACCAGGUGAGCACACUGAGUAGGCCUGAAUGGCCCCGAGGCUCCCCAGGGUUUUAGCUACUCCUGGGAUGAAAGCUGGUCUCUCUUGGGGGUCUGCUGACUUUUCCAGACCCUGGGGAUGUGCUGGGUGCAGUGAUGUGGAAGAGUCAUGUUUUAAGACAGUCCCAAUGGUCGGAAGAUUUCCCAAUGCCAGCGAAUCUAGUAAAGACAGAAGGAGUUUGGGUCUUGAGACAAGCUCAUUAGCACUCAUUCCGUUUGGGUGAAAUCAAUUAGGGCUAACUGGAAGGUACAGCCUCUGCUCUCUGUUGACUCUUGAAAUGAGAGACUGAUGGUGGCUACCAGUUAUCACGGAGGCAUGCUGAGGGGCAAAGACUCUGAUGACAGAGUCUAGGCUGUGAAUCCUGCCCCUGCUGCUCUGUGGCCAGUUGCUUGGUAGGAGGACUCUGCAGGGUUCUGGAGGGUGACCGUGUGUGUCACCUAAGACCCCUGUGGGUCUCAGGCAACUCAGAACGGACUGGGCCUUGCAGGUUCCACCCGGCCUGACUGCCCAGGCCUGCGCCAGAGAACGACCGGGCGACGUGCCCAGUGACGGCACAAAGGAAGAGCCUCACACCCCGGGUUACACCCAGGGUUACGCAGAGCAGCAUGACACUGUGACCUUGUCUUCGGUGCUUUUACCAUCUGCUGGGUGCUGCCUACUAGACUACAAGCUCAGUGCGGGAGGCCUUUUCUUCUCUCUUCUUGUUUCCGCUGUGCUUGAGUGGGUUACCUGAGGUUGGCUGACAGAUAUGUCUGGAUCCUCCAGGACUGGACACGUCAGUGGGAGUUAGAAGCCCAGCAAGAGGAAACCAAGGCAUUAGGAAGAGUACGUUUUAGGAUCAGGUAAAAACUAGCUGCCAGCACAGGGAGGGAAGCCUUGGUUUUCCCAUCUGUGGACUGAGGCGAUGAGCAUGAGGUCGUGCAUCUAAGUGCUUAGCAGAAUUCUCGGCACAUAGCGCCCACCGGAGUGAGUGCAUAGCGCUUCUACAACCACCCCCGGCGCCUUGCGUGGUUCUUCAUGUCUCCGUGGGAACUUUUACAUUUUUUUUUGACUGUGACCCACACCACAACCUUCUAAUGUGUGUGCAUGUCUCUUUAAAUAUAACCGAACUAUAAAUUUUGUGAACUAAGACCCUUACUAUGUGUGAUGAACUUUGACGGUUUGCAUUGUGUUCAGUUUUGUUGAAAGAAUCCUGAAGGGGCAAAGGGUUACUUUCUGGGGUGACCGACAUAUUCUGUAUUUUGAUGAAGGUGGUGGUGGCAUGGAUGUCUUUGUCCAAAAUCGUUGAACUCUGUAUUAAAAUGGGUGCCUUUUAUUGCAUGUCAGUUAGAUCUCAGUAGAUUUGCAACCCUCUAAUUUUUAUUGAGAUACAAUUCACAUUUCACAAAACUCACCCUUUUAAAGUGGAUACUUAAGUGAUUUUUAGUAUAGUCACAGAGCAACUGUGACCACAGUCCAAGGUCAGAACAUUUUCAUUACUCCAGAAAGAAGCCCCGUACCCAUUAACAGUCACUUCCCAUCCCCCCAACCCUAGUCCCUGGCAACCACUAAUCUACUUUCUGUCUCUGUGGAUUCGCUGGUUUCAGUCUUGCGUGGCCGGGAGAGCAGCCUUUGAAGUUAGACUGGUUACUGGGCCUCUCAGGGGCCACCACUCACCACAACUGGGAUUUCUCUAUUUGGUCCUGGCACUGGGUGGUGAACUCCAAGAGCAUCAGAGACGCUGGCAGAUGACUCACACCCUGUGUCCCCACCUCCUUCCUACACAGACCCCAGGCCCGUUCAGUCCUCCGGAAGUGCCCCUUGCUCUCCUGGUGAAGAUCUGGACGAUGAUGCACCAGUGAAGGAGUGGAGAAUGGACUUUCCAAAGUCCAUGGGCAAACCCAUCACAGAAAUGCAAAGAAGUGAUACAUUCACAUAGAAAAUCUUCCCAUUCUUGCCCUCAUCUGCAGAGACACCCUCUCCGCAUGCUGCAGAGAAAUAUGGCAGUUGGCACAAAAACAGACACAUAGACCAGUGGAAUAGAAUAGAGACUCCAGAACUGGACCCACAAAAGUAUGGCCAACUAAUCUUUGACAAAGCAGGAAAGAAUAUCCAAUGGAAAAAAGACAGUCUCUUUAACAAAUGGUGCUGAGAACUGGACAGCAACAUGCAGAAGGAUGAAACUAGACCACUUUCUCACACCAUUCACAAAAAUAAACUCAAAAUGGAUAAAGGACCUGAAUGUGAGAUAGGAAACUAUCAAAACCCUAGAGGAGAAAGCAGGAAAAAACCUCUCUGACCUCAGCCGCAGCAAUUUCUUACUUGACACAUCUCCAAAGGCAAGGGAAUUAAAAGCAAAAAUGAACUAUUGGGACCUCAUGAAGAUAAAAAGCUUCUGCACUGCAAAGGAAACAAUCAACAGAACUAAAAGGCAACUGAUGGAAUAGGAACAGAUAUUUGCAAAUGACAUCAGAUAAAAGGCUAGUAUCCAAAAUCUAUAAAGAACUCACCAAACUCCACACCGGAAAAACAAAUAAUCCAGUGAAGAAAUGGGCAGAAGACAUGAAUAGAUACUUCUCUAAAGAAGGCAUCCAGAUGGCCAACAGGCACAUGAAAAGAUGCUCAAUGCCGCUCCUCAUCAGGGAAAUACAAAUCAAAACCACACUGAGAUAUCACCUCACGCCAGUCAGAGUGGCCAAAAUGAACAAAUCAGGAGACUAUAGAUGCUGGAGAGGAUGUGGAGAAACGGGAACCCUCUUGCACUGUUGGUGGGAAUGCAAAUUGGUGCAGCCGCUCUGGAAAGCAGUGUGGAGGUUCCUCAGAAAAUUAAAAAUAGACCUACCCUAUGACCCAGCAAUAGCACUGCUAGGAAUUUACCCAAGGGAUACAGGAGUGCUGAUGCAUAGGGGCACUUGUACUCCAAUGUUUAUAGCAGCACUCUCAACAAUAGCCAAAUUAUGGAAAGAGCCUAAAUGUGCAUCAACUGAUGAAUGGAUAAAGAAAUUGUGGUUUAUAUACACAAUGGAGUACUACGUGGCAAUGAGAAAGAAUGAAACAUGGCCCUUUGUAGCAAUGUGGUUGGAACUGGAGAGUGUGAUGCUAAGUGAAAUAAGUCAUACAGAGAAAGACAGAUACCAUAUAUUUUCACUCAUAUGUGGAUCCUGAGAAACUUAACAGAAGACCAGGGAGGAGGAGAAGGGGGGUGGGGAGUUACAGAGAGGGAAGGAGGCAAACCAUAGGAGACUCUUAAAAACUGAGAAUAAACUGAGGGUUGAUAGGGGGUGGGAGGGAGGGGAAAGUAGGUGAUGGGCAUUGAGGAGGGCACCUGUUGGGAUGAGCACUGGGUGUUGUAUGGAACCUAUUUGACAAUAAAUUUCAUACUUAAAAAAUUUAAAAAAGAAAAGAAAAACGUGGCAGUAAAAUAGUAUUUAUCUUGAUUUCUGAGAUGUGGGGCGGCCUCUUCAAUUUCACACAGGAGGCGAGUGCAUCUCCUGUCUCACCCCAGCCCUGGCCUGCACUGGGCCUGAAUCUUUCCCAGGGAGAGCUAGAAAGAAGUUCCCACACCCUGCGCCCCAGGCACGCCUGGCUUUGGGGAGCUGAGUGACAUACGUCUCAGGAAAAGUUCUUUCCCUAGUGUCACUGGUGGUGAGAGGAAGCUUUUUUCAACCCUCUCUGUUGUGACACGUUUACCAGUUUAUGGGGCACAUCUGGCGGCCUCUGGCUAGUGAGCAACUUCCCAGGUAGAGUCAUGGAGUCAGCUGAGCCCACAGGCCAAUGGGAAGGGAGUCUUUCCGCUGAGUUUGCACAUUCCCCAGCUGAAAAGUAAGAUUUCUGAAGAGUCCUAAUGAAGGCCCAAAGAACUGAAAGUACACAUCACACACUUAAUGAUACUUGUCAAGUUGAAUUAAACUUGGCUUUUGUGUAACCUGAAUGUCCUCACAUGCUCCGUGUUUCUGGGGUUACUCUUCCUCUAACAGACACACGAGAGGCUUGGAGGCUUGCGUAAACGUUGGGGUGCUCCACGAUGAGAGAAGGAUAGUUUGCAUCAUCUCUCUUCUCAAUUUCUGCUGCUCUGAUUCUCCGUCUUGCCCCUCUAGCUGUGAGGCUUUUUACCCCCGCAGAUGCUUUUCUCCCCAUGCUCCCCAAGACCCCAGUAACCAGGCUCUUUGUGAAACAGCCUUUCCUGAAGUCUUGUGGGAAACAGAAAGGCACUACAGCAUAGUCCUGGACAGGAAACCGUUUAAAAUUAAAUAAAUACAUUUAUGGAUAAACAAAACCUAGGAGAAUUCAUAGACAACAGAUCUGCACUGUAGGAAAUGCUAAAGAAGUUUUUUCAGAGUGAAAGGAAAUGAUACCAGGUCGAAAUUUGGAUCUUCAGGAAUAAUGAAAAGCACCAGAGAUAGUAAAUAUAAGAAUAAAUAUAAGGGGUGCCUGGGUGGCUCAGUUGGUGGAGUGUCUGACUUCAACUCAGGUCAUGAUCUCACAGUCCAUGGGUUCAAACCCCACAUCAGGUUCUGUGCUGACAGCUCAGAGCGUGGAGCCUGCUUCAGAUUCUGUGUCUCCCUCUCUCUCUGCCCUUCCCCUGCUCACACUCUGUCUCUAUCUCUCAAAAAUGAAUAAACAUUUACAAAUUAAAAAAAGAAUAUAAGAAAUCACUUUCCUCUCCAUUUCUUAAAAUACUUAUAAAUGUUUAAAGCAAACAUUUUUAAAGCUUCACUUUCUCUCUCUCUCUCUCUCUCUUUCUGGUGAGAGUUCGUGGGCAUGCAGGGGAGGGGCAGAGAGAGAAGGAGAGAGAACCCCAAGCAGGCUCAGUGCUGACAGUGCUGAUGUGGGGGCUCAAUCCAUGAGAUCACGACCUGAGCCAAAAUCAAGAGUCGGAUGCCCAACUGACUGAGCCACUCAGGUGCCCCAAAGCAAACAUUUUUUUAAAAAUAGAAUUUAGACACAUUAUUUUUAAGUUUAUUUAUUAGUUUUGAGAGUGGGGAGCAGAGAGAGAGGGAGACUGAGAAUCCCAAGCAGGCUCUAUGCUGUCAGUACAGAGCCCCAUGCAGUGUUUGAACUCACAAAACCUGAGAACAUGACCUGAAUCAAAAUCAAGAGUCAGACGCCCAGGUGCCCCCAAAACAAACAUUUUAACAUUGUAUUGUGAGGUUUUUAACUUACAUAGAUGUAACACUUAAUACAUAUUUUGCAUGAAGUGGCACAAUAUUAAUUCCAAAUAGACUGAAAUGUUAUGGAUAUAUAUUAUAUUUCUAUGGUGAUCACUUCUUAAAAAUGCAAAGAAGUAUAACAAAAAAGCUAAUUGAUAAAUGAGGGUAGGUUUCUAAUAAAUAAUCAAUUAGCCCGAAAAGAAGGCAAGAGAGGAGGAACAGAGGAAACAACAACAACAACAACAACAACAACAACAACAGGAGAUAAAGAGGAAAAAAAAUAGUAAAAUGGUAGACCAACAUUCAACCAUAUCAGUAAUUACAUUAAGGUUACUAGUCUAAAUCACUUCAAUUAAAAGGCAGAAUCUGCCAGAUAGAAAAGCACAGCCCAACAAUACUGUCUAUGAGGGACACAUAAAAGACGUUGAUAGGAAGCAGAUGAGAAAAGAUGUAUCAUGCAGACAGUAAGGAUAAGAAAGUUGAAGUGGCUAAAUUAAUAUAAAAUGAAGUAUUAAGAUGGAGACAAUCAUCAGAGAUUAAAAAAGAAACCUCAUAAUAAUAAAUAUCACCAGGAAGGUAUAAUAAGCAUACAUUACAGAGUUUCAAAAUACAUGCAGGAAAAACUAACAGAAUGACAGAAAUAAAGGGAGAAAGACACAAAUACACUAUUGUAGUUGGCCAUUUUAACACCACUCUCUCAGCAAUUAUAAAAAACAACUAGACAAAAAUCAGUAAAUACGUAAAAGAUUCGAACAACACUUUGAACCACCUCAAUCUAAUAAAUAUUUAUGGAACAAAGUACCCACCAGAAUACACAUUAUUUUCAAGUUUAAGUGCCCUUGAUAUAUUCACCAAGGUAAAUCACAUUCUGGGCCAUAAAACAAAUCUCAAUAAAUUCAAAAGGGCUAAAAUCAUAUAGAGUAUGUUAUCUGACGACCAUGGAGUUAAAUUCCAAAUCAAUAACAAUGUAUGUAGAAAACCCCAAAUACUUGGAAAUUAAGCAGCACAGUUCUACACAACAAAAAGUCUAAGAAAUCCCAGAGAAUAUUAGAAAAUAUUUUUAUUUGAAUGAUAAUAAAAAUAAAACAUACCAAACUUUGCAAGAUGAAACAAAGCAGUUUUUAGAGAUGUAUUUAAAGCUGUAAAACCUAAUAUUGGGGAAAAAAGGCCUAAGUUUCACUUUCGGAAGCUAGAAAAAGAAGAGCAAAGUAAACCUAAAGUAAAUGAUAGGAAGGAAAUGAUACAGAGAAGAACAGAAAUUAUAAAAUAGAAAGCAGAUAAAUAAUACAUUUAGCAAAGCCAAAAGUUGGUUAUUUGAGAAGGUAACAAAAUUGAUUAACCCCUAGCCAGACUGACCACCUUCCCCCUGCCCCCCAAUAAAAGAGAGAAGACAGACUACCAAUAUCAGGAACAAAAGAAGGCAUAUCACUGUGCUAAAGAUAUUAAAAGGCUAUUAAAAGGAUGUCAUAAACAAGUCUAUGCCAAUAAAUUAGACAAUGUAGAGGAAAUGGACAAAUUCCUUGAAAAUUACACCUUCCAAAACUUAUAUAAGAUAAAAUAGA